GGUUGAUCCUGCCAGUAGUCAUAUGCUUGUCUCAAAGAUUAAGCCAUGCAUGUCUAAGUAUAAGCUUUUAUACGGUGAAACUGCGAAUGGCUCAUUAAAACAGUUAUAGUUUAUUUGAUGGUCCUUUUUACAUGGAUAACCAUGGUAAUUCUAUGGCUAAUACAUGCGCAAAGGCCGCCUUUUUUAAAGGGGCUGUGUUUAUUAGAUACAAAACCAACCCACGUUUCGUGGAGUCCUGGUGAUUCAUAGUAACCGAACGGAUCGCAAUGGCUUCGGCCGGCGAUAGAUCUUU
rnacentral:rRNA from 1 species